ensembl:lncRNA
UAAAAAAAAGAAAAAAAGGCAAAAAAAAAAAAGAUGUCUUGCUUCUCUUCCUCCGUAUCUGUCUCUGUCUAUCUCGGACACUGGAGUAGUCUGUAGCGGCGUAAUCCUCCCUCCUCCCCCUCUUUCUUUCUCCCAUUUCUUGAAUAGUGGGGCUGAAAAAAAAAUGAAUACGCGGAGAAUUUUGUUUUUUUGUUUUUUUUUGUCUGAGCAGAAUGCAGUUAGCUCACAUGUUAUUCUUGUCUGUACGCUUUCACAUUGUAUUACCAUACCCAUCUUCUUCAGCUUCUCCAUUCAACAGCUAAUGUAAGUGAACAAGUUACACCACGGGGCUCUGGGCCCCUGCUGGGGGGGCGGAGCGAACAAAUAGUUCCCACCCACCGGCCCCCUGUGGAGCGAGGAGAGCACUCUUGGAAAACUUGGGGGUUUCGGGCCGUAUGCGAGACGUCCAGUUUUAUUGCGAGUCCAGGACUUGAAGCACCUUAUAAAGCGGACCGGUUCCACAGCCGGCGACUGAAAGGCCCAAAAUGUAACCCGAUCACACGCCGACCCGCCGCGGUCUAACAGAGCGCUUCCAGAAAGUCAGUCGGAACAAAAACAACGUAGGAGGGGACUUUAGAGAAAAGCAACGGGGGGAUUUCACCAGCAAAAGUGAUUUAUACAUUUAGAAAUAAAGGAAAAAAAUGGUAUGCGUGCAACUAUUUUUUCUUUUUACUUCAAUCAUGCAAAUGAAGCCAGCAGCAGUAUUAUCAAUCAAGCCUUCGACCAGUAAAAGCGCCACAGCUUGAGAAGCCAUAGUAGAGACGAGCGCUGCGCAGGGCCGCGUGUGUGCGUGCGUGGUUGUGUGUGUGCGUUUACCCCCCCGCGCCUUUCAAAGAGCCCAGUCACACCUUGUUGUCGAACCGUCCGCUGUUUCAUUUUUAAAAAGUGGUAUUCUUUUUUUGUUUUUAUCACGUAUUAUAGGAUGCUGGGCCGUGUUUAGUGUAGACUGAGGCCCCCCGGCCGGCCUUGCCCCCCUCCCACCAUGAGUGCUGCUCCUCCUCCAUCAGGACCCCGUAACCCCCCCCCCAGAGCCCAUGGUGAAAUGCAUGUGUUAAUUACAGUUUCUUUUCCAUAAUAAUAAUAAAGAGAAAAAAACAGUAUGAAAAGAUCACCACCUUGACUUGAUUGAAUAAAAGGAUGUUCUUGGCUGUACUUCGCCUCUCAUUAUUACUCGUUCUCAAGCGGCGCCUUGCUCACACACUGCUGGGCUCCAUGGACAGUGGAGGAAGAGCCUGGACUUCUAGGUAACGAAAGUGCCAGGUCCACAGUAGAUGUAAAGACACCGACACAAGGUACAAAGAUGAGUCCUGCAUUAAAAAGCACUGAUUCAAGUGUUCCAUUGCUGAUCGUGUUAUUACGCAUGUAUCACUGUGCGAGCAGCAUUUUACUGCUGUAGCUGAAAGGUGG